AAACAAUAUUAAAAGGAGAAUACGAGCAACAGAGAGACCAUCCACGUCGGCAAUUAAAAUCAUCCAAUAUGGUGCCUCCUUUUCUCCACGUCAAACCGAAUGUGGGCUGAAUUUGGGCUGAUCUUAAUAAGCGAAGAAGCUUCUUUAUCUCUCCUAUUUGUGCUAAGGCGCAAGGUGACGCCUGAGCUUUUCCUAAUCUCUGAAACCGUCUCUUUUUCUUGAUUAGUCCCAUUAAUUUGAUUGCCCACAAUUACGUCUUCAAUGCGUGGCUUAGAUCUUUAAGGCGGUGCGUUUUCAGAUAUAAAUAUGUUGCGUAAGAUUUAGGAACUUGGCUCUAAUUAGUAAGGCUACUUCAUGUGUUGUUGAUCUGUUGAACAUGUGAUGGCUUACUCGCUUUGUAUAUCUUAAAAGAUAUAUGAUCUCAAUUUUUUUUCGAGUUCAGCUAAGUUUUGUUUAAUUGUUAAGUCAUGUUCAGAGUAGGCUAUGGAUGGAUCAUGGUGCUGUUAUAUAGGUGGGUACAAAGCGUGGGCUCGCUCCUGGGAAUGCAGCUAGCAAAAAUGGUUAUCACUGUAGAGAAAUUAUUCUCUCUGUUAUCUUAGUAGCCUAGGAAAUGUGUUGUAAACCUUUCUUGCUGAUGGUUACAAAAGAUCAACAAGGCAAACCGUGGUCACCUUACUUCCCAUGAGUUGAAAGAACGACAAGUUAGAUUCUAUGGAACUGGCCAAUGUAGGACCGGCAACCAGAAAAUUCUCACAGAUUCUGCAAUAAUACAUGUUUUGUUUGAUCUGUGACCCAGACUUAUCAAGAAAGCUCUCACGGAGAAAUGUAACCUUAACUCGUUGAAGAUGUUGUGGUCAUAUUUCUUUUUAUAGAGAAAUCGAAUGAGGCUAAGAGAUUGGUGGUUCUGGUGUUUGCUUCUCAGAUUGUUUUAAAAGAUGCGCUUGGAUCACACCCAAGUCUGGCAAAGGUUUCUAUGGAACAAGGAUCUUAUAUAUGGGAGCUGGAUAGAUCAGCAAUCUUUUCAUAUACGGGAGCUGGAUAGAUCAGCAAUUUGCUCUUUUAUUCCCCUCUGUUUCAAGCAAUAAAUUUGGUUGGAGAGACCAGAAGCGGGAAAUCUAUAAUGUAAUUGCGAUGUUGCAGAGGUUACAAGAUUUUGAUCACGUCAGCAAAGCUAGAACCGGUUUUGCUCAAAGAAACCGUCGUACCAAACAUUGCUUGUGGAGGAUGAUAAGCUAUCUGCAGCUCAGCUAUUUAAUGCUCAUGGCUUUUUAGUGUACCAAGCAUGUAACUUUAACGGCACUUGAAAGAAUGUGCAGCUCUAAAUUCCAGAUUCAUACUACACAUGAAUAUGUAUUAAGUGUUGCAAGCAUUUAAUUA